rnacentral:rRNA from 1 species
UACGUAGGGGGCAAGCCUCGUCCGGAUUUAUUGGGCGUAAAGAGCGUGUAGGCGGUUUGGUAGGUCCGUUGUGAAAACUCGAGGCUCAACCUCGAGACGCCGAUGGAAACCAUCAGACUAGAGUCCGGAAGAGGAGAGUGGAAUUCCUGGUGUAGCGGUGAAAUGCGCAGAUAUCAGGAAGAAUACCCGUGGCUAAGGCGGCUCUCUAGUACGGUACUGACGCUGAGACGCGAAAGCGUGGGGAGCGAACAGG